rnacentral:rRNA from 1 species
AUUGAACGCUGGCGGCAAGCCUAACACAUGCAAGUCGAACGAGGGGCGGACGGGUGAGUAAUGUCGGGGAAAAUGCCUGAUGGAGGGGGAUAAGUACUGGAAAAGGUAGAUAAUAACGCAUACCAUCGGAGGGGCCAAGAUGGGAUUAGCUAGUAGGUGGGGUAAAGGCUAACCUAGGAGACGAUCCCUAGCUGGUCUGAGAGGAUGAACAGCCCCACUGGAACUGAGCCCCGGUCCAGACUCCUACGCUAGGCAGCAGUGGGGAAUAUUGCACAAUGGGCGCAAGCCUGAUGCAGCCAUGCCGCGUGUAUGAAGAAUGCCUUCGGGUUGUAAAGUACUUUCAGCGGGGAGGCGUUACCCGCAGAAGAAGCACCGGCUAACUCCGUGCCAGCAGCCGCGGUAAUAC